rnacentral:tRNA from 1 species
AUUGAAAUAGCUUAUAAAGAGUUUUACAUUGAAGCUGUAAAGGAGGUUAUAUCUUUCAAUA